ACCGGGGUGAUUUCUGAGGGAUAAUGAAGGGCUGAGAAAGGCUGUCAGGUCCCAGCUCUUAUAAGUUUUCCAUUGUGCAAGGAAGUCUGGAUCUUAUCCUGUAAACCAGAGGGCUCUGGAAGCAGCAGAGAGAGGAGACCUUUUUAUCGACCUUCAUGCUCACCCAACUACCAGGUUUCUGGCAGCAGAGAUGUUGUUCAGAGCACGCUGGAAAAUGGAGGCUUCUCGAUUCCCACUUUUAGCUCGCACCAUUCUGCCGAGACAACUUCUCGCCGGGUUCAGUGAAUGGCGGUGAAAUGCAAAUCAUAACGGAGGAGAGCUGGCCUCCGGGGAAAGGGGGUCUUGGAUGGUUUCCAAGGGCUCCAAGAAUGUGACGUGGAUGUUUCUUAUUACCUGUGCAAGAGAGCAGCCAGAGGUGCUUUGUCUGAUGUUCAGAUUAGCUCAGCCCUUCAUGAUUAGACCAAGAGCCGAUUCCUUCCUUGUCAGGAAGACCAGUCUGAGGAAGUUUCUCUAAGUGGAGAUGAACCCUGUUCAAAAUCUCCUCCACCCACCACUGCCACCACUGGCUCCAUGAUAGCUCUGCAAGGGAUGACGGCAUCCUUGUAUCAUAGUCUCAUGGUGAUCAAUGAGCUAUUCCGUGAACGAUGCUCUUCUUGCUGCUCACAGCACACAGUAAGCACUCAACAGAGAUUAUCAUGAUUCAUACCAAUGCAUAUAAGAGAAAAUCCUAUUACUUUUGACUGCUUUUAGAUGAAAAGGAGUGAAAUCAAGGAGAGAAUCUCAGAACAGAAUUUCCCCAUACCGACCCACGAACGCAGCAGGCAUGGGCUUAUAAAGAAGAGGUAAUUACUGUGUCAAAAAAAAAAAAAGCCAAGAUGGUGAGUCACUCUAGAGGUAGCCUGUGUUGUAAAGAACAGUUCCUGAUGACCUCGGAAUCUGGAGCAAUGGGCACCUGAUGAUCUGUGCCAAUGUUAGCUGAUGCCAGCAGCCCUGCCUUCCAGCAGCAUGGACUUCAAGCUGUAGCAGCUGUGCUUUGAGUCAGACUUCCUUCAGAGCUAAGGGACUUAAAGCCCUGCGAUUCUGGCCACAGGGAGGUAUAUUACUCCAAAUGUGAGAGCACCCAAGGGCCUGGGGGACCCUGGCUAUGAAGGCUGCUGCCUGUAGUACCUGUUUAUUGGGUAACAACAACAGUACAAGGGCUAAUGUAUUGUUUGCUGAAGCAAUGAUUGUGCCAUUAACCUGCUAACCCAUCCUUAGGGCAGGUAGGAUUAGGUCAUUAUUAGAGAUUGAACUAGAGGUGGGUCACUUGAGGUCACAUAUGGCAAGUGGGAGAGAAGAGGAUUGGCUCCAGGUAACACUUGGGUUGUCCACUCGAAGUGCUCUCAGACAAGGAGGGGACCCAAGAUGAAGUGGCUUGGGAGAUUGAGCCUAUGAUCUUUCAGACAUCAGAGUGCAUUGAACAGGUUGCUAAACUCCCCUGGCCAGCCUGUCCUGGCUUCCUAGGUUCACUCACUAUGUAUUUCUGUCAUGGUAGUACACCAGGAGGAAGAUGGGGCUUCUAAUUUAGCCCUUUGGGCUAAAUUAACCCAUUCAAUCUGGCAGCCGUUCCAAUGAGUCAAAAAGCAAAUUCAUCUGGGUAUGAAUUGGGUUUGAUUGAUUGGUCCUCUGAACUCUGUGAUGAGAAGGAAGCUCCAUCUUUGGACAGAGAGGACUUGAUCUCAGAUACACUGACAGUAAAUAACCUUACCCAAGAUCUUCCUAUGUAAAUCAGCACAAGCUGGACUAUGGGGAGGGCAUUUGCUGCUUCUGCAACAGUUUCAUUCCUAAGACACUUAACAGACUCAACCAGGGCAACGGACAGACUGUUCUCUACACCACUGAGAGUGCUCCUGCGAGUGCUCGGGCAGAAUUCUUCCAUUCAGACAGUGAAGGUUAGCCUUCACAUUUGUGAGUCUCAAAGUGAGCUAACAAGUCAGGUAUCCUCCAAGAAUUCUGGAAGAAGGAGCUGGAGGUCAGAGUGCAAAGAGGUAUUUGCUUAAGGUUGACUAAGGCAGUAAAUGAUCCGAGGAGACUGGAAACUCUGAAGGCUGAAACCCGGAGGAAUGUUUUUAAGUGAGCAGUGGAUGGUCACUCUGCUCCAUAAAGAUCUGAGGGAUGAGUCUGUUCACCUUCAUGCGUCUCUUUAUUGCUGUUAAAUAUUUACAGAUAAAUGUUUAAGUGCCUGAGGGCAGGGGAAGCUUUGCUUAUCAGAAACCCCCUUUUUAAAAGGCAGUUAACUCUCGGCCUGGCAGAUCUAUGAAAAUGGUUUCUGUCCCAUUCACUUCUCAACAGCUGCAAAGCUAAUCGGGUUGGCAUGGGCCAUUCUAAAGGCUUUGCCGGGAAGGAAACCCUUGGAAUGUUCUGAAUGAACUCAGGGUUGUGAAGGGAAAGGCUGACAAGGGCAAGUGUCCAUGACCACAUGACAGAUUUGUCUGAGCUUGCGUGUCUCUGGGCCUGCUGUAUUCAUUCAUAAAUAUUCAAUGGCUAUUUAUCAAGUGUCCUCCCUUUGCCUGGUGUCAUGCUAGGCAUAACAACAGAGCUGAGAUUCUGCCAGACAAGACCUCUUCCUUCCCACACAUCCAGUUCUGUACGAGAACACACAGCAGUGGCAUCUAGAUAUUCAAGUGUCAGGGCCACAUGUGGAAAGGCUCUGCCCAUCUCUGUGAAAGUAAUUCUCACCUGCAGGGCAGGUGCACAUUCUCCCUGCCCACCACUAAAGAGAUGCCUAGGGAAAAAUCAAGGGAGCAUGAAAUGGGAUCCCAUACUAAUGUAAGCUAUAAAAUUUAAUUAGUUAUGUGCAUGUUUAAAAAAGAGUGGUGCUCACCACUUAUAUAAAUCAGAAUAGCAGUUUAUCCUGUAAAAAAAUUUCUAUGUACGAUCAGUCCCAUGAAGCUGAACAUUUAGUGUCUUUCGCUAAUGGUGUACCUGUACUAAAAUGCCAUGUAAACAAUGUGACACGGUGGGGGUGGGGUGCGGUGUUCUCCCCUAUCUUCCCUAGAAUUGUGUCGAGUCAUCAAAAUGAGAAUUGUGCUAUUUGGACAUACUGUCCGUUGGCCUGUAAACCACCAGCUCUCUGUAGAUUUCUGUACUGGUGCUUGUUAGGAUGUUUAGAUCUCACUCCUCCAAGAUAACCGCACUUUGGAAAAUUAGUUCUGUUCAUCGGACUAUGAAAAGAGCUUAAGCACAUUUUAGUCUUCUAUGGCCUCCAUAUGAGGCUCAAAUAAUGAGACAUUGUUCCUGGUCAGUUCCUGAAUAAAUGACCAAGUUGAGUUGUA
ensembl:lincRNA BC055402 cDNA sequence BC055402